ensembl:snRNA U6 U6 spliceosomal RNA
GUGCUCACUUCGGCAGCAGAUAUACUAAAAUUACAAUACAGAGGAGACUAGCGUGGCUCCUGUGCAAGGAUGACAUGGAAAUUUGUGAAGCGUUCCAUAUUUAA